rnacentral:misc_RNA from 1 species
UUUGUGACCGACCUUUCAAACGAAUUCAGGGCGUUGCUGAAUCAAACAGCUUGAUGAAUAUAAACAUGAAGAUGGAAGGAACGCUACCGUAUGAUAUGAUCUUUAUAUAGUUUACCCGUCAUUGGCCGUCAACACCUAAUUUUAAAAACACCAAUUGCUAAAAUUAACUUUUUAAAAAAAUAUCAUUCAUAACAAAUUAUUAAAUACAGAAUGAAUUAAUUUAUUAUAAAAUUGCAUAGCCAUUGGUCUGUUUAAGAACUUUCAUCACCAUUGACAUACUCGUAUAACUUGUGUAGAUACUGAGUUCAUUUCUUAAAUUAGUUACUCUUAUACAUUGCAUCACAAACAUUUGUUAUAUCUUUAAGGAAACAUUGCAUAUUGCAAUGUCAAUGCCUGACUAUCACUCGAUCCGUACAUUGCAUGAUGUUGAAUCGAGAGGCUAUAUUUCGAACAAGUGUACCAGAAAAUGUGGAUAAUUUUUUAAACCAUACAAAGUGGAACAUUAUAAGUUAUGAUAUAAAGCAGCAAAUUUUCAAUGUUUUAAAAUAUGGCCAUGUCUGUUUAACAACUUUUAAGCUAACAAAAACAUCUACUGCACUUAUUAUUAACAGUAGCUUGUUAACCAUAACGUUAAUGUUUAUGAACACAACUCAGUUAAGUUGUAUACAAAAUAUGUUUUAGUUAUGGAGGCAACCUUGCGGACCUAACCAGCCGAAUGGACAACGCGGGAAGAAUGAUCGAAGACUUCUUUCAAACUGGCAAUUUUAAAACAAAAUGUCCAAAAAUCACCUGUCCUUUCACAAAGGCUACGUCUAAGCCAGAUAUCAGGAAAUGUAAUAUUGGGUCAAAGACUUUCAUUGUACAGGGAAAGGAGAUUUGUGGUGAGACAUUUUUUAGAAAUAGAACAGAUAACAAGAAAAUUAGCUCCAUUUUGUUUUAUAGAUUAUCAUAUUCAAACUGUGUGGAUUGUGAACUAAUUGGACAUGGUCUUAUUAAACAGCACCAUGCCCUGCUGGAUGGUUUUAUAACACGGAUGGCGACUGCUCACAAUGCCCAUCGAAUACCUUCCAGGAAAGAACCGGGCAGACGAUUUGUACAGCCUGUCCUGAGAAAACUUCUUCACCGACCGGUUCUUUCCUCCAAUUGCAUUGUAUUCAGAGCUUAUCACAAAGUGGUGGCAACACUGACACCAUGAACAUGCUUACAAUCGUAAUCCCAGUGAUUGCCGCCGCCUUGGUAAUACUUUUCCUGGUUGUCGUCAUCGCAUGUUUCCUGAAGAGAAAGAAGGCGUCUCAACAACCAUCCAAGAGAGAAGAGAAGUUUCAAAACCCCAUCUUCAUAGGCCAAGGAAAUGAUGCAUUUUCAGGUCCUAGUGUUGAGGAAUAUGACCAGAUUCCGGCAGACAAGAUGUUAUCAGAAUCUCAGAUUCACAACUUUAAAAAAGUAGGAAGUGAAGGCGAUUACGAAAGUAGUGCAAACCUUCCUGGGCAAGACCACACAUACCAGGGUCUGAAAGAGGCUAAAGGGGCCACGAACAAGGCGUUCGGCCAGUCUAACCACGACUCAUCGGAUGACUACGACUCCCCACAUGAUCCAGUUAGCAAUGACUAUAUGACACCUUUAGCUUGAGACUGUUUAUCUCCUUUGUAUUGCAUAUUGACUGAUCUUCUCGAUAAAAAGUCUUCUUUAUUCUUUUGACCAAAUUCACGUUCAUCUGUUUGCAGAAAUUAAACCAAUUGAGCAC